rnacentral:misc_RNA from 1 species
GGAACCCACAGCAGCAACGUUAACAAGUAUUCUUCUUUUCCGGUUAUAAAGCUCUAGCCUCAUCUUUCAACUGCGCCUCUCUGCUUCUUCUUCUGCCUGCAACUCGCCAAUCUUUCUCUCUAUCCCUCUGCCCGAUAGAACGAAGAAGCCACCGACUCUCCAAUUGAAGACGCAGGAGAACCCUUUUCACAAUGUCUUCUCUAUUCCAAAACGACGAUGCUGACCAAGACAUUUGCUCUGACGAUGACGAAAUCGACGAUGGAUUCAAUGAUGACAUUGAGGCCCUAAGGCGCGCCUGCACCCUCACCGGCACCAAUCUCAGCGACGUCAACAUUGACAACGGUGAGAAUAAUCGCUCUCUCUCUGCAGAAGGUGAUGGGGAUUCAUGCAGUGGCGAGGACGAGGAGGAUGAAGAUGAUUUCAAAUUAUUCAGAAUCAUACAGAAUCGUUUCUCAUUUGGGACUGAUUCGUGUGAGCCUAUCUAUUCAAAGCCUCUCUGUGCUUUUCCAUUGGAUUUCGACGAUGAGGAGGAUGACUUCGAGACUCUUUGUGCUGUUCGGAAGCGUUUUUCCGCGUAUGAUAACAGUGAAGGAAAAUUGGAGAACUUGGCUGAGAAAUCAGAGGGUGUUGAUGCAUCUAGUGUAGUCUCGAAGUUAGUAACUUCUGAUGAUUCAGUGAUAGAUAGGACAGCUUGUAAAGUUUUUCCAGAUACUGAAGAAGGCUUAAAUAGCACCUUAUUAAGUGAUAAUAUGGAGAUACAGCCAUCUGGUUACAUUGAGCAGCAGCAUUCAUUGGAUGCUUGUAAGUUUUCAUCUUUGGGGCGAAAAGAUUCUUCUAGCUUCCCAAAGUCUGCGCAAGUCUUUAUUGAUGCAAUUAAGAAGAACAGGUCCUGUCAGAAGUUCCUACGGAAAAAAUUGGCUCAUAUUGAAGCAAGAAUAGAGGAGAACAAAAAAUUGAAAGAGCGUGUUAAAAUUCUUAGAGACUUUCAGGUUUCAUGUAAAAAAAUCACUGGACGAGCUCUGGCACAAGGGAAAGAUCCUCGAAUUCAAUUGAUAUCGACACCCAGAAUAUCAAAUUCUAGAGAUUCUAAGGUAAAUGAUAAAAAGGUCUCUACUAUGCAUAAUGGUCCACCGGAGAAUUCUCAUGUUGCUAAUUAUCGAAUGGCAUUGACAAAUUUUCCUCUUAAUUUAAAUCGGAAAAAUUGGACGGAGGCAGAAAAGGAAAAUCUUCAAAAGGGGAUUAGGCAACAAUUUCAAGAAAUGGUGCUACAAUUUUCAGUGGAUCAAUUAAGUGGUUCAGAAGGAUCUCCUGGAAAUGUGAAUGAUUUGGAUGCAGUUCUCGCAUCAAUCAGAGAGAUGGAAAUUACCCCAGAAAGGAUUAGAGAGUUUCUUCCAAAGGUUAAUUGGGACCAAUUGGCGUCCUUGUAUGUUGUUGGUCGUUCUGGCGCAGAAUGUGAAGCAAACAAGUGCCCUUCAAAUCAAGCUAGCGUCGCAGACGUCUAUGACGAUCACCAUCACAUGCAUCUUUACUAUUGUUGGAUUUGAGUAAAAAGUGCAAGGUUAACACAUUUCACACAGGUGGGACCCAUAAAUAACAUGUGCUUUACUCAAAACAGUGGUGUUGAUUGCGUCUGGUGAUGAUUGUCAUCAGAUGUCUGUGACGCUCACAUUUUCUUAUUUUAUCAAACUAUCCACCGUGUAAUCCUGAAUUGAUUUGCUUUACGAACUUUAUCUGAUAUAAACCAUUAUUUCUACAGGUGGUUGAAUAGUGAAGAUCCAUUAAUCAAUCACAGUAAAUGGACUGCUGAAGAGGAUAAGAAGCUAUUGUUUAUUGUCCAGGAAAAAGGGAUGACGAAUUGGUUGGAUAUUGCAGCUUCAUUGGGGAAGAAUAGGACCCCAUUUCAAUGCUUAGCACGUUUCCAAAGGAGUUUAAAUGCUCACAUAAUAAAAAGGGAGUGGACAAAGGAAGAGGAUGCUCAACUUCGCAUUGCUGUGGGAACUUAUGGUGAACAUGAUUGGCAGUCUGUGGCUUCUACUUUAGAAGGACGGACUGGAACUCAAUGCUCUAAUAGAUGGAAGAAAUCCAUACAUCCAGGCAAUGGCAGAAAGGGGAAAUGGACCUUGGAUGAACGCAAGCGCCUGAAAGUAGCUGUAAUGCUUUUUGGUCCAAGGAACUGGAACAAAAUAGCUCGAUUCGUGCCGGAACGAACUGCACCACAAUGUAGAGAAAGAUGGGUUAAUUCUGAAGAUCCUUCUUUGAAUAUGGACAAAUGGACCGAAGAAGAGGAUUUAAGGUUAAAAGCAGCCAUUGAAGAAUAUGGAUAUUGCUGGGCCAAGAUUGCUAAAUGUCUCCCACCACGAACAGAUAGCCAAUGUAGGAGGAGAUGGAAGGUGUUACUUCCACAUGAGGUCCCUUUGCUACAAGCAGCAAGAAAAACACAAAAAGUUGCAAUUAUAGGUAACUUUGUGGACCGUGAAUCAGAACGGCCUGCACUUGGUCCUCAUGAUUUUGUUCCAUUACCAAUGAUAACAUCAGCAUUUGAGCCUGAAAAACAGAAUCAAUCCAGGAAGCGUAAAAGGAAAAGCAGAGAAGGGGAAGUAUCUGGUAAGAAAAAAAAUGCUGCACCUGGGUAAGCUACACUUUUGAUGUUAGUGGCUUGUUUUCUUAUUGUGGGAAUUUCAAGAAUUUCUUUUUUUGGUGAUAUAUUGUUAUGUUGAGGAUUAAAUGUCUAUUUAGUAUUUGUAUAUUGUCUUAACUGAAUUCUUCAUUUGAUUUCUACAUUUUUUUUCAUGGAAUGCAGCAAUACUUCAAAGAGGCUUCAAUCCAAAAGACCUAAUGAAGGAAUGCAAAUUUCUUCUGUGGAAGACCCUGGGAUAACUAAUGGCACUGAAGUUGCGACCUUUGGUGAGAGUGGUAUGGUUGUGACUAAGAGCAGUUCUUCAGAAAAGAAUCCUCAUAUGAAAACAUAUCAAGAUAUAGCUGAUGCCCAAGAUGGUGAUCCUAAAAAGAAGAAAAAACUUCCUAAAUUACCUCUGAAAAGAAAUGUGCUUGUUGAAAUCGCUGGCAACAGCCAGAGUUGUCUUUUAUCACACCCUGAAAGCUUGGAAUUAGGGAUAUCAAAUGUAGAUGGUUUGCAGACCUUUGGUGGGGAAAGUGAAACAUCAAGUGAGAAAAGAAAAGUUCAAGAACAGCAUUCUGAGGCAAACACAUGCACUAACACAGGUGAAGAAGAGGGAUCAGAACCUAUUACUGAUGUUAUUGAAUUGGACCAUGAUCAUUGUGAUUCAAAUGUCUUGGCAGUAAAUAUUGUUGAUCAGGAUGAAACAGUUGGUCAGCCUGAUGCUUCCAACAAGGAGGUCACCAAUCUAUCCUUAGAAGGGAAAGCAUUUAUGGAAUUGGCUGAUUCCAACUGUUUAACAUUGCCCCCUGAAAAUUUAGAAGCAAGGGUAACUAAUGCUGGAGGUGUUGAGAAGUCUUCUUUGGAUGGCAUCUCUUUGAUUAAGGCAAGCAAGGCUCCCAAUUGCACGAGUAAAAGCAGCACUGAACUGUCAGGGCAAUGCAAUUUUGUUGUGUCAAAUCCUUGUCACCAUGAUGGACAUAGAAAGUCAAAAUUGAGCAAAUCUUCUAAUAAGCAGGUUUUAGAGGAUAAUGGUAAACUUGCUUCCUUUUGUCAAAAAAUAUCAAAAAAGAGAAGGCUCCGAGUUGAUAAAAAUGAUAAGCAGAUUUUAGAGACGAAUGAUGAGGAUGAUGUUACACUUGCUUCCUUUUGUCGAAGUAUAUCAAAGAAGAGAAGGGUUCGAGUUGUUAAAAAUGCAGAUCAGACCUGCCCUCCUUCUGAUUUGGUGUCCAAAAGAGUAUAUCAACAUGAUUAUCCAAAUAAAAUGCCAUCCUUCAUGCUAGAUGGUGAAGCUCAGACAUGCUACAGUGGUGGAUUUGCAGAAAAUGUUUUGUUAGAGGAACCCAGUGUGGUAGACACGGCCAAGACAGAUGCUCCCCAGGAGCCAAUGAGAAAACCGAUUAGCAUCGAUCAUGAUAGUGAUCUUGAGAUGAGUGACAUUACCCUUGCUAGCUUAUUGCAUAACAAACAGAAAAGGAAGGGUCAAGUUCUUGCAAAAAGCCGUGAUCAGCCACACUCUCUUUCCCGCAUGAAAAAGAGAUCAAGGCCGCUGGCCAAAGGGGUAGUACAAUGCUGCAAUGGUAGAAUGUUAGAAACUUCGUCAGGUUGUGAAAUACAGUCGUGUGGUACAAGCAGUAUACCAACGAUUACAGGUGAUGACAAGGAGCCAGAUGGACAAGAUGUGGCUGAUUAACCAACCAUUCCCUGUCAGCUGGUUAGGGAAUCUGUCAUUGUAAAUGCUGAAGGAGUUCAUGAGGGCAAUGGUGAGCACACACAGUUCCUCCCUCCGGGUUUUCAGAAACCUAUGUAAAGAAAUUUUCAUGCAGCUCAAAGAGGAGCUAAGUCUGAAUUUUGGUGCAGGUAGGACUUUUUGCAUAGAAGCUGAGGCUUGUGAAUUUUUGAAUUUAAUUAAUUAGACUUCGUUUUUUUUUUUUUUUUUA